rnacentral:rRNA from 1 species
GAGGAAUGUAUAGCAAUAGCUAGUUGCAUCAUAGUAGAUAUGAUGCAAGAUCGACUAUGUUGAAUAAAAUUCUAGGUAGAAUUAUGAUAAUGACAUUGUCUGCCUAUGUGUCUUGACCAAAUUACGUGCCAGCAGUCGCGGUAAUACGUAGAAGACUAGUGUUAUUCAUGUUUAAUCGGUUUAAAGGGUACCUAGACGGUAGAUCAAGCUUUCUAAUAAAGGAAAAGGACUAAUUUACUAGAGUUACUUAUGAGGGGGUAUUAAAGUACUGCUGGUGUAGAGAUGAAAUUCUGUCAUACCUCUUUUCAAAAGAAAAACCAUGGCACAGGUAUAGGCGAAGGCAUCCCCUUAUGUGAUAACUGACGUUGAGGGACGAAGGCUUUGUGUAGCGAACAGGAUUAGAUACCCCAGUAGUCGAAGCAGAAAAUGAUGAAUGUCAUAGAUUAGAUAUAUAAGUUUAUUCUAUAAAUGAAAGUGUAAGCAUUCCACCUCAUGAGUAAUUUGGCAACAUUGGAACUGAAAUCAUUAGACCGUUUCUGAAACCAG